rnacentral:tRNA from 1 species
GGGGAUAUAAUUUAAUUGGUUAAAAUAUUUAUUUUGCAUGUAAAGGUUAGGGGUUCAAGUCCCCUUGUUUCCA